rnacentral:rRNA from 1 species
GACGAACCGAGCGAACGUUGUUCGGAAUCACUGGGCGUAAAGGGCGCGUAGGCGGCCUUCUAAGUCGAACGUGAAAUCCCCGGGCUCAACCCGGGAACUGCGUCCGAUACUGGAAGGCUUGAAUCCGGGAGAGGGAUGCGGAAUUCCAGGUGUAGCGGUGAAAUGCGUAGAUAUCUGGAGGAACACCGGUGGCGAAGGCGGCAUCCUGGACCGGCAUUGACGCUGAGGCGCGAAAGCCAGGGGAGCAAACGGG